AAAGUCGUAAACAAAGGUUUUCCGUAGGUGAACCCUGCGGAAGGGAUCAUUAAAAAGAGAUAGGGGUCUCACGGCCCGACCUCCAACCCUUUGUUGUUUAAAAAAACCUGUUGCUUCGGCGGGACCGUUCGUCCUCGUGACGGACUGUCGGUCUUCGGCCCGGCAAGCGCCCGUCAGAGUCCAACCAAACUCUUGAUAUAACCAGUCGUCUGAGAAUAAAGAUUUAAUCAAUUAAAA
rnacentral:misc_RNA from 1 species